CAUGCCCCCACCCUCCCUUACCCCACACAGGGGAGAGAGAAAACACUUCCAUUGGGCUGUUAGGCAGAUGGGCAGGUGAAGUGAAAAAAAUGUCCUUAGUGCAGGUGAAGAGGGGGAGGGGAGUAGCUCAAGCACUACAUUCCCUGCUUUCCUCCAGUUCUGCCGUCUGUGAGUUGCCCACCUUACAACUCCUCUUUCUCUAUCUUCCAUGUUGAUACAAGGCACGGUGCUAAGCUCUGGGUGUAUGAAGAAAGGCACAAAAGAAGAAACCUCUCUGCUAGGAACUGAUAUCCUUUCUACAUAUUCGAGAAAGAAAGCCAAUUAUCCACUUUUCCAGCUAUUGAUCAAAGCAGCUGGGCUUGUACAAACAUGUUUGUUCUUUAAUUAUUACUUUCAGUUUAGAUUUUAAAAGAUUCACCCAAUCAUAAAACGAACUGGUCAGUUAUUCUUCUCCUGCUUGAUUGACAGCCUGGAAUGGGGGAAGUAAAAAUUGCUUAAAUUUUAUAAAUUCAAAUUGGAGUUUGCCAAUUCAAGCUGUCUAGGGGUUUGGAGUAUACAUUUAACAGAGAUGA
rnacentral:lncRNA from 1 species